ncrna:unclassified sequences S15-Halobacteria ribosomal protein leader
AGUGGGAACGCACGGUCGUAACUCUGACUCGCCGUUCGCUUGGACGGCUCGGGAUUGCGGCGGUGU